AGCUUCGUGUGGGACAAGGGAGGCGACUGUGUCCGUGUUGACUCCGCCCUGCCUUCCAGGAGAAACAGCUACAAUGCUCUCCCUGUGUGCUGCAGCCGUCCCGGGCCUUGUGCUGAGACCGAGCUCAUCACUUGCACAAGUACAGGCUGUCCUGGUUAGCGCUGCCGAAGCUUCUGCGGUAACGAGCGUGGUUGGGAGAUGCAGCGCAGGAGCUGCUGUUGUGCUUGCAGGGAAAACUGGCUGCUCUCGGUGUGGGAAAGCAGGAGGAUUCGUUCUGUUCCCGCCUGAGCUGUGCUGGAUGAGGAGGUUCUGAGUGCCGCGCAGGACGGUUCUCUUCUUUUCCUCUGCAAUGCAACAACGUCACCAUCAAGAGCUCUAAGACCAGUAACAGACAACCAUCCCAACCUCCCUUGGAUUGCUUGGAUUUUCUGGAUUUCUGCAGGAGAAAAUCGACCCCAGCGUCAGUUGGACCCCAGAAGGACGUUGCUGGAAAAUGCGUGGCCAGGUUCCAGUGACGUGUUGGCUUGGGCGUGAAUGACUGGAAGUGCCUGUUGGGAGAGCAAAGCUGCCCGGUGUUAACAAACGCUGCUGCCAAGAUUUGGGGGUAAAAGUGCCACAAAUGUGAUUUCCCAGGGAAAACAGAGAAGUUUGUCAAUGCCUGGUUGUUAUAUGGCACAUUGUAAUUAAGCCCAGUGGUAAUUUUGCAUUGAUUUUACACAGGAUAACUGGCUGUAGCAGACUGGUUGCAUCAAAUAAAUGUUGACUUGCUGCA